rnacentral:rRNA from 1 species
UACGGAGGGGGCUAGCGUUGUUCGGAAUUACUGGGCGUAAAGCGCACGUAGGCGGCUUUGUAAGUUAGAGGUGAAAGCCCGGGGCUCAACUCCGGAAUUGCCUUUAAGACUGCAUCGCUAGGAAUUGUGGAGAGGUAAGUGGAAUUCCGAGUGUAGAGGUGAAAUUCGUAGAUAUUCGGAAGAACACCAGUGGCGAAGGCGACUUACUGGACACAUAUUGACGCUGAGGUGGCGAAAAGCGUGGGGAGCAAACAGG